rnacentral:rRNA from 1 species
CCAAUAGCGUAUAUUAAAGUUGUUGCAGUUAAAAAGCUCGUAGUUGAAUUUCGGGACCAGUAUGUCGGUCGUGCUUCGGUACGUACUUGCAUUAUUGGUUUCUCCCUUCUGAAGAACCAUGAUGUCAUUAAUUUGGUGUCAUGGGGAAUCAGGACUGUUACUUUGAAAAAAUUAGAGUGUUUAAAGCAGGCUCGCGCUUGAAUACAUUAGCAUGGAAUAAUGAGAUAGGACGUUUGAUUCUAUUUUGUUGGUUUCUAGGAUCGACGUAAUGAUUAAUAGGGAUAGUUGGGGGCAUUAGUAUUCAAUUGUCAGAGGUGAAAUUCUUGGAUUUAUUGAAGACUAACUACUGCGAAAGCAUUUGCCAAGGAUGUUUUCAUUAAUCAAGAACGAAAGUUAGGGGAUCGAAGACGAUCAGAUACCGUCGUAGUCUUAACCAUAAACUAUGCCGACUAGGGAUCGGAUGAUGUUAAUUUUUUAAUGACUCAUUCGGCGCCUUACG